UACGGGGGGUGCAAGCGUUGUCCGGAAUCACUGGGCGUAAAGGGCGCGUAGGUGGCGUCGUAAGUCUGUGGUGAAAGCCCGGAGCUCAACUCCGGGUCUGCCGCGGAUACUGCGAGGCUUGAGUGCUGUAGAGGGGGGUAGAAUGCCGGGUGUAGCGGUGGAAUGCGCAGAUAUCAGGAGGAACACCGGUGGCGAAGGCGGGUCUCUGGGCAGUAACUGACGCUGAGGAGCGAAAGCGUGGGGAGCGAACAGG
rnacentral:rRNA from 1 species